rnacentral:rRNA from 1 species
GACGAACGCUGGCGGCGUGCUUAACACAUGCAAGUCGAACGGUAAGGCCCUUCGGGGUACACGAGUGGCGAACGGGUGAGUAACACGUGGGUGAUCUGCCCUGCACUUCGGGAUAAGCCUGGGAAACUGGGUCUAAUACCGGAUAGGACCACUGCCUGCAUGGGUGGUGGUGGAAAGCUUUUGCGGUGUGGGAUGGGCCCGCGGCCGAUCAGCUUGUUGGUGGGGUGGUGGCCUACCAAGGCGACGACGGGUAGCCGGCCUGAGAGGUUGACCGGCCAGACGGGGACUGGGAUACGGCCCAGCAUCCUACGGGAGGCAGCAGUGGGGAAUAUUGCACAAUGGGCGCAAGCCUGAUGCAGCGACGCCGCGUGAGGGAUGACGGACUUCGGGUUGUAAACCUCUUUCAGCACCGACGAAGCGCAAGUGACGGUAGGUGCAGAAGAAGGACCGGCCAACUACGUGCCAGCCGCCGCCGUAA